rnacentral:lncRNA from 1 species
AGCCUCAUACCUGGGUAACAGGGUAGUCAAACCAACCAAAUCUUUUCAUAUGAAAGCAUUCUUAAUACAACAUGCUGGUCAGUACCCAAAUACAGAGCUUCUAUGUAGUUUAUGUACACAAAAGUAUACUUGCUUUACCCCAAAAGAAAGAAGCCCUGAAACCAAAUUAACGUGUCUCUGGCAGCUAUCAGUGAUGAGGAUCUGAAAGAAAAAGUAAAUGAACGGA